rnacentral:rRNA from 1 species
GACGAACGCUGGCGGCGUGCUUAACACAUGCAAGUCGAACGGUAAGGCCCUUCGGGGUACACGAGUGGCGAACGGGUGAGUAACACGUGGGUGAUCUGCCCUGCACUUCGGGAUAAGCCUGGGAAACUGGGUCUAAUACCGGAUAGGACCACUGCCUGCAUGGGUGGUGGUGGAAAGCUUUUGCGGUGUGGGAUGGGCCCGCGGCCUAUCAGCUUGUUGGUGGGGUGAUGGCCUACCAAGGCGACGACGGGUAGCCGGCCUGAGAGGGUGACCGGCCAAACUGGGACUGAGAUACGGCCCAGACUCCUACGGGAGGCAGCAGUGGGGAAUAUUGCAGAAUGGGCGCAAGCCUGAUGCAGCGACGCCGCGUGAGGAUGACGGCCUUCGGGUUGUAAACCUCUUUCAGCACCGACGAAGCGCAAGUGACGGUAGGUACAGAAGAAGGACCGGCCAACUACGUGCCAGCAGCCGCAGUAA